rnacentral:lncRNA from 1 species
GAACAAUUCCCCAUGGUCUCUAUUUGCUGCAAAUAAACUUUACUUUGUGUGACAACUACUUCUGGUGAAGGCGCUGAUUUCAACUCACCAACAAGGGGACCCACUUUGGUUCGGUAACAUUACCGUUAUCAUCUGCUGACAUACUGCAUGGUUUGCUUCUUUAUUCGGUUUCUUGUCCGCCUCCCCCACUAGAAUGUGAGCUCCUUGAAGGCAAAGAUUUCUGUCUGCCUUGUUCACUGCUAUGCAGCCACUUCCUAGAACAGUGCCAGCACUUCUGAGGUCCUCAAAUAUUCAUUGAAUGAAUGAAAUGUUUUGUGUGGGCUUUCUCAUUGAAUUUUCAGCACCAUCAAGGAGAGGACAGUAAGCAUGACUAAAGUCUCCCACCAUCUUCCAGACGCCUUGGACUCAGGUAUGGUUAUAUGACUUGCUUUGGCCAAUAAAACGUGAGUGGAAGUGUUGGCUGCGUCACUUCCCGGUAGCAGUAUUUAAAAGCCAGUGCAUGAUGCUCCAUGCUCUGGUCCGCUGCCCAGGUAGCCGUGGGAGCCAUGGCAGCACAGACGUGCCUCAUGAAGGAGGCUGGCUGGAUCACUGAGCCGUGGCGUGGAGGACAUCGCCUAUUUCUAUGAGCGAGAAAUAAGUUUUGAUUGUUAGUCCACUAAGGUCUAGAGCUUAUUUAUUACCACAGCAUAACCUAGUAUAUUCUGACUGAUGCAGGGAGAAACUGUUAUCAUGCCCAUGAGGAAACCAGAGAGGUGGGAUUACUUGUCCAAAGUCACACAGCUCGCUGGCUGUGGUUUAUUACGGAUGGAUCAGGCUGGCAACACAAGAAUCCAAGAUGGGAUCUCAUCACAAAACAGGAGACAACCAGAUGAUAAGUGGCUCCUGAUCGAAGAACUCAAGACCACCCAUAAAGUAUAUUUACCCUAAAAUUGAACCUGAA